AUUGAACGCUGGCGGCAGGCUUAACACAUGCAAGUCGAGCGGGGGAAGGUAGCUUGCUACCGGACCUAGCGGCGGACGGGUGAGUAAUGCUUAGGAAUCUGCCUAUUAGUGGGGGACAACAUCUCGAAAGGGAUGCUAAUACCGCAUACGUCCUACGGGAGAAAGCAGGGGAUCUUCGGACCUUGCGCUAAUAGAUGAGCCUAAGUCGGAUUAGCUAGUUGGUGGGGUAAAGGCCUACCAAGGCGACGAUCAGUGGCGGGUCUGAGAGGAUGAUCCGCCACACUGGGACUGAGACACGGCCCAGACUCCUACGGGAGGCAGCAGUGGGGAAUAUUGGACAAUGGGGGGAACCCUGAUCCAGCCAUGCCGCGUGUGUGAAGAAGGCCUUAUGGUUGUAAAGCACUUUAAGCGAGGAGGAGGCUACUUUAGUUAAUACCUAGAGAUAGUGGACGUUACUCGCAGAAUAAGCACCGGCUAACUCUGUGCCAGCCGCCGCGGUAA
rnacentral:rRNA from 1 species